GGACAGCCCAGUCACCGCCGGGGCCUGGGACCCAAGAUGGCGAGGCUGUGCCGCGAAGGACCUGGCGCCAGCGCGGGAGCAGCUUCCAGAGGCCACGAUCAGGGCCACCCACGCUCUCCAGCUCUCUUGUGUCCCGGAGCCGGGGCCCGCCACCCGUCGCGGCCUCGCGGCCGUAGGCCUUUCUGAACAGGCACGCCGCGGGCAGCCCUUCCCGGGGUCCCUUGCGGCGGCGUCCCGGGGGCCUCCGGGGGCCUCGGAGCAAGAUGGCGGCGGCGGGGUCCGUGAGGCGCGGGCGGCGACGACCGCGGCGCCAGUGAGGGGCCCCGGGCGGCUCCGGGCCGGGGCCCCGCCGCGGGACGGAUCAUGCUACGCUCCACUGGCUUCUUCCGGGCUAUCGACUGCCCCUAUUGGGCGGGGGCGCCCGGGGGGCCCUGCCGGCGGCCCUACUGCCACUUCCGGCACCGCGGGGCCCGGGGGCCUGGCGCGCCCGGCGGCGGCGGAGCGGCGUCCGCCGCAGCAGG
rnacentral:lncRNA from 1 species